AUUACAUCCAUUGUAAUGUUUAAUCAAUAUUGUUGUUGUACUUUAGGAUAGUUGGUGAAAUAAUGGCAGUGAGCAUUACUCAGGAUGGACCUUUUUCAUGGAGUGGAUUUACAAUUUCAUUUCUUCCGGGAGAUUAAUAAAGAUGAGCUGACAUAACAGAUGCAGACCUGCUAGAUCUGAUUGACAAGAUUGAGACUGCAGACACUACAGCCUUGCUUGAGCUUUCUGAAAGAAUCGUAGCAUGUGGUACACAGGAUCCUAACAUGUGAUGAAAGGAAGACAUUGUCAGGAGUGAGGACUUUGACAGAACGGGGCACAAUGUCCGGCUUAAAGAUGGUGCUGUGCCAAACAUUUUUAACUUUCCAGCUCAUCUUCAAAGGGUCUGUGUAUCACUGACCAACAAUAAUUCAAGGUGUAUAAGAUUGAUAUAUCAA